CCCUUAGAUGUUCUGGGCCGCACGCGCGCUACAAUGGCAGACUCAGCGAGUUACCUCUGUCGAAAGGCACAGGGGAUCUUUACAGUAUCUGCCGUGAUGGGGAUAGACCCUUGUAAUUUUUGGUCUUCAACGAGGAAUUCCUAGUAAACGCAAGUCAUUAACUUGCAUUGAUUACGUCCCUGCCCUUUGUACACACCGCCCGUCGCACCUACCGAUUGAAUGGUCCGGUGAAGUCCUCGGACCCAGUUGAACCUCGAGUUGAACAGGGAAAGUUGACUAAAUCUUACCAUUUAGAGGAAGGUGAAGUCGUAACA
rnacentral:rRNA from 1 species